rnacentral:lncRNA from 1 species
GAGAGAUUAGCCCUAACUAUAGAUUGCUAGUUGUGAUAUUCAUCAAUAUGAUUGUCAUUAAUGCAUGUUUCUAGUUUAGCUAACUAGAACCUUAACCAAGGAGUUGUAGGCACAAGUUAACACUUGAAUCUCACCCUAAAUCCGUCAUAAUUGAGCUAGGAUUGUUAGAGUAAGGCGAAAGCUGAUCUAGUAAGCCUAGUGAGCAUUAUUCAACAUGCGCAUAAAGUUUGACUAAGAGCGCGUCGAUCAAUAUUCCUAUAGAAUAAUCGAUCGGCGGUGCAAAAGGUGUAUUGAUCGAUGAUUCAAGAAAAACUUUCUAAUUUGUAUGACCUACUGUUGAGACCAUUAGAUCUGGUCAAUAAGCAAACCUAGAAAGCGAACGCCGAUCGGUUUGUAAGUGAUUGAGCUCUAUAAUAUCAAGAAUACAACUGUUAAGCAUCUGUAGGAUUAUAAUUAUGAUUACCUGAAUUGAAACCCUUAGUCUAGUUAUUUCAUUUAAGUAUCAAAAACCCAAUCAAACCAACCGAGCAACUACCUUGCUCACAACUUGCUAUUUACAUUUAAACAUAAUCAACCUAGCUUAAUCAUUCUGAUUAUAUUUAUUAGGUACCCUAGCUCCUUGUGGAUUCGAUUCCUAAGUACUACAAUUGAACAUCUUAUUUGAGAGAGUAAUUCACUCCUUAGGGUAAUUUGAGUGAGAUCUACUUUGAUUUAGUCUAGGUUACUUCUUUAAACCUCUUUCUAACAUAAAAUUUUUCUUGUCUUUUCAGGUGCAUGCCCAACAGUACCAGAAACAACAAGGAAACACCAUUGCUAUUUUUAUCAGAUCCUGCAAGCUUGGAACGUUCGAUCCGCAAAGGAAGACGCUCCUCGUCGACCGACAACAACACUAGUUCGUCAAUCGACACUCGCCAACCACCAUCGACCGAAACUAUUCUUCCAUCGACCGACAUCUUCUAUCCCAC